CCAAUAGCGUAUAUUAAAGUUGUUGCAGUUAAAAAGCUCGUAGUUGAAUUUCGGGACUAAUAUGUCGGUCGUACUUUGUACGUACUAGCAUUAUUGGUUUCUCCCUUCUGACGAACCACGAUGUCAUUAAUUUGGUGUCAUGGGAAAUCAGGACUGUUACUUUGAAAAAAUUAGAGUGUUUAAAGCAAGCUCGCGCUUGAAUACAUUAGCAUGGAAUAAUGAAAUAGGACGUUUGAUUCUAUUUUGUUGGUUUCUAGGAUCGACGUAAUGAUUAAUAGGGAUAGUUGGGGGCAUUAGUAUUCAAUUGUCAGAGGUGAAAUUCUUGGAUUUAUUGAAGACUAACUACUGCGAAAGCAUUUGCCAAGGAUGUUUUCAUUAAUCAAGAACGAAAGUUAGGGGAUCGAAGACGAUCAGAUACCGUCGUAGUCUUAACCAUAAACUAUGCCGACUAGGGAUCGGAUGAUGUUAAUUUUUUAAUGACUCAUUCGGCGCCUUACG
rnacentral:ncRNA from 2 species